rnacentral:rRNA from 1 species
GUAGUCUCGCACAGAUGCAUAUCAAUAAGCGGAGGAAAAGAAACUAACAAGGAUUCCCUCAGUAACGGCGAGUGAAGCGGGAAGAGCUCAAAUUUGAAAUCUUCAAGGUUUUACCUUGACGAAUUGUAGUUUAAAGAAGUGUUUUCUGCUGAAGUUUUGGUAAAAGUUCUUUGGAAUAGGACAUCAUAGAGGGUGAGAAUCCCGUAUUUGACCAUUAUUUUCAGCUUUGUGAUACACUUUCAAAGAGUCGGAUUGUUUGGGAAUGCAGUCCAAAAUGGGUGGUAAAUUUCUUCUAAGGCUAAAUAUUGGCGAGAGACCGAUAGCGAACAAGUACCGUGAGGGAAAGAUGAAAAGAACUUUGAAAAGAGAGUUAAAUAGUACGUGAAAUUGUCAAAAGGGAAGCGUUUAACACCAGUGUUGUUUUCUGAAAAUCAACCUCUGUUAGCUUUAUGCAUGUUUGUUUAGACCUAAUCAGCUAUCUUGCAUGUUCUAUUGUUUGCAGUGGUGCACUUUUCAGUUUACAGGUCAACAUCAGUUUUUUUUUACCGUAAAAAAGUUAAAGAAAGGUAGCUCAUGGCUCCGGUCGUGAGUGUUAUAGUCUUUUUCCUAUGCGGUAGGAGAGACUGAGGUCUGCAGUGUAGGCUAUUUGGCUAGAUACUCAGGUGCUAUGUGAUACCAUUUCAUAAACAACUUGUUGAUUAUGUUUUGUCUAUUGCAUACUCGCUUGUACUAUCAUACCUACGCUUAGGAUGUUGAGUCGUAGAGCACGCAG